UCCCCGAGGGCUCAGAGAGUAAAGCAUCUGCCUGCAAUGCAGGAGACCCAGGUUCGAUCCCUGGUUCUGGAU
rnacentral:tRNA from 1 species